UGGAGGAGGCGCUCAGUGGCAAAGCGCCUUCCCCAGCUGUCGGCCCAGUCCUGUAAAGCGAUCCUGGCCUGCCUUGACUAAGAAGUCAGAAAUAGAAGUGCUUCUCACUGAUCCGACGUUACUCACGGUUAAGAAGGAUGCAGGGUCACCUGGAAUUCACCCACUGUCGUUUCAGCGUCAGGUGCUCAGUUCAAAUUUGACCAGACCGUGCUGUUCUUUCUGAAGAAUUGCUCUGCUGAGACCCAAGGAGUUCGAGCUUCAGGUUGCAGGGGCCUCCUCACAGCAAUCUUGCCUAUUCCAAACCUCCUGAGUUUUUCUGGAAUCUUAUGGUCAAUGUUUGUAUCCCCCACAAAUUCGUGUGUUGAAAUCCUAAUCUCCAAGGUGAUGGAAUUAAAAGGUGGGGCUUUGGGAGGUGAUUAGGUCAUGAGGGUGGAGCCUCAUGAAUGUAAUCAGUGCCCUUAUAAAAGAGACCCCAGAAAGACCUCUCACUCCUUCCACCCUGUGAGGUUAGAGUGAAAAGAAGGCCAUUUAUGAGCCAGGCAGCAGCCCUCACUAGAUAUUGAAUCUGCUGGUACUUUGAUCUUGGACUUCCAAACUCCAGAACUGAGAUCAAUAAACGUCUGUUGUUUAAGCCCCCA